rnacentral:rRNA from 1 species
UACAGAGGGUGCAAGCGUUAAUCGGAAUUAUUGGGCGUAAAGGGCUUGUAGGUUGUUCUAUAAGUUAGAUGUGAAAACCCUGGGCUUAACCUGGGACGUGCAUUUAAUACUGUAGAGCUAGAGUAUGGUAGAGGAGUAGGGAAUUCCUGGUGUAGCAGUGAAAUGCGUAGAGAUCAGGAGGAACAUCAGUGGCGAAGGCGCUACUCUGGACUAAUACUGACACCGAGGAGCGAAGGCGUGGGGAGCAAACAGG